UGACCAAGGGGCCGGGCUGUUCUGAUUGUUGCAGGAUCGGAGUGGCCUAGGGGUACAGGGAGUGCCUCCAGGAUUGGGCCGGGUCAGGAAAAGG
ncrna:Pseudomonas plecoglossicida NB2011 ivy-DE RNA